rnacentral:lncRNA from 1 species
GUCCUUAUCUGGAUGGCAGGGCUGGUAACUUGUAUCCUGGGAGGCUUCUGGGAUAAAGCUUUAUGAUGCCCAAGUGUUGAAGCUCCUGCUGGCACACCUAGGCAUCCCCUCCUGGCCUUAUUCACAACUCCUUCAGUCAAAGCCUGUGCCAGCCAGGCUCCUUCUCUGGGGCAGGUGCGAACUGCUUGGGCAUCCUUCCGGGAAGGGAGCUCCCAGCUCCUGGCAGGAGCGGCUUCGCAGUCACACCGCUGUUUGCAGACUCCCUGGUGCUCUCAGCCCCCUCACUCCAGAGCUGCACUCCUCAGAACUACAAACCCCAUUGGCCAUCUCCUGGGCACAGUCACUACCUCUGUCAGCACCCUAUGACAGACUCCUUGGCCAGCAAGUGAGGAGGAAUGCACGGAAGGCCCAGAGCCGCAGAGCUGAAAGUGAACACCUGUAUCUGGAUGCAGCUGCGUUCCUGCAUACCUCCGCUGUGGGCAGGAUGGUGGCCACGACAUGGUGGCCGCAGGGACUACUAACUGGUUACUCAUGUCAGCUCUUCUUCAGAGGAGGUGGAGCUUUGAUGAAGGAGGUGGAGCCUCGAUGGAGAUGGAGCCUCAGUGAGACAGGUGGAGCCUCAGUGAAGGUGGUGUAGCCUCAAUGAAGGAGGUGGAGCCUUGAUGAAGGCGGUGGAGACUCAGUAGAGGAGGUGGAGCUUCAAUGAAGGAGAUGGAGCCUCCAUGAUGGGCCUUGAGUGAAGAAGGGAAUAUGAUCCUGGCUCCCCUGGCUGGAUCCUCUGUGUUCUCCAGGACUUCGCUCUUCCUACUUCCGGACCUCACCUAUUCUCCAGAACACCGAAGGUCAGAAGGUCCAUCUUUUUGCAGGCAGAGACUGCCCGAGCUCGUUAAGAAACCUGACCCACACUCUCUCCUUAGAGAAGGAAACCGAAGCUCCACGACGCCCCCAAGUAACUUCCCCAAGGCCACCCAGCAAACGAGCCGUAGAAUUGCCUUUUAUCGUGGAAUCAAGAGCUUCCGGAAGUUUCCGGCUCUCCGGAACUUCUUCCUUCUGGUCAGGGUCCUUCUACUCGCAGCCCAGCCAGGUGCAUAUUAGCAUAAAACAUCCCUAGGUGGGACUCUUUCCGCCCUGGCGGCUCCCACGCCCGCGCCUGCUGCCGGGCUCUGGCCUCUGCCUGGGCACCGGCUCCUUGCCCGCUUAAGGUUCGAGCACCUGCCGGGAGGCGCGGGAAGCGCUCGCCCGGGUACGGUGCACCCUCCCUGGCUGGGCCCGCUGCCCGGUGCUCGCAGCGCUCCUGAAUAUGGGACGGCUUGAUUGACCUUGGCAAGAGGCAGCCAAGCUCCCAGAGGCUUGCCCUCCCCAUCCCCUCUCGGCGCUGGCGCCAGAGCUCUGGUUUCUUCCGCCACUACCUCUAGCGUGCGCCCAGACAGGAUUUUGGGGAGGGGUCUUGGGAGGAGCCAAAUCCGACCCCCCAUUGCGUCCUGGCUGGCCCGAGAUGAGCUAGUGUGAGCGUCUUCCUGCAAAUUAAGUCGUCUCGGCACUCUCCAUCCGGAGGGCACUGGGGCAGCAGUCGAUGUCUCGGCGGACCCGCUGCUUCCUGAACCAAUCCAAGCCAGCUCAGGGUCAAGAGGGGGGUGACAAUUGGGCCCCUCACUAACUUGAAUCUAGCUAGCUUCCAAAGGUUUCCAAGAAACCCUUCUCUUCUGCCCCAUCAGCACAAACAGCCAGAGAACAGAUCCAGUUCAGUGGUGCUAUUUCUUCGGAGACGUCGGUGGUCCUUAGACAACGCCAUCUCUCUGUUUUCCCACGUGUGAAUCUGGGCAACAGUAUUGUCUUGUUUGUUUGCCUGGCUGGCUUUCCUGAAGAUCCACUAAGCACCCUCAAAGCACACCGCGGGGCCUUCGUAUCCUCAUCCAAAGGGCUUGGAGAACUCUGGGACAGUUCCCACCGCUUAACAAACGUUGCCUGUGUCUGUCGUUUUCUGUUAAAAGAACUUGAAGCCCUCGCCCUUUGAUAGAAGGGGGAUGAGAGAAUGUAAUAUGCUUUAACGACUGAGAUGAAGAAUUUUGGAAUAUAAUUGUAUUCUGGGGAAGGGGUGGGGGAAUCCUAAACUCCCAGAUUUUCUCAGGAAACAAAACUCAAAUGAAAGACCGGUUCCCAAUGUCUGCUGUUUUACAAGCAAUGUGGUUUGUUGUUGCUUAAUUACAAUCAGACCCAUUUUAUAGAGGGAACUGAGGCCUGUAAAGUAAUGCUCCAAGAUUACAGACUUCUAGAAACAAUGGCGUUAGUGACAAAAUCCACUCCUUGGCAUCCUACGUUCUGUGCUUUCCUUCCGGCCUCUGAGCUGCCGUCGGGCAUGCCUAUUUUGCGCGCGUUGCCCUUUCUGUGUUUUCUCCUGUGCUUUAUCGCUUUCUCCUUGGUACUGGUGAUUAAAAAGUAAAAAAAGAACC